rnacentral:rRNA from 1 species
AUUGAACGCUGGCGGCAGGCCUAACACAUGCAAGUCGAGCGGAUGAAGGGAGCUUGCUCCUGGAUUCAGCGGCGGACGGGUGAGUAAUGCCUAGGAAUCUGCCUGGUAGUGGGGGAUAACGUCCGGAAACGGGCGCUAAUACCGCAUACGUCCUGAGGGAGAAAGUGGGGGAUCUUCGGACCUCACGCUAUCAGAUGAGCCUAGGUCGGAUUAGCUAGUUGGUGGGGUAAAGGCCUACCAAGGCGACGAUCCGUAACUGGUCUGAGAGGAUGAUCAGUCACACUUGAACUGAGACACGGUCCAGACUCCUACGGGAGGCAGCAGUGGGGACUAUUGGCCAAUGGGCGAAAGCCUGAUCCAGCCAUGCCGCGUGUGUGAAGAAGGUCUUCGGAUUGUAAAGCACUUUAAGUUGGGAGGAAGGGCAGUAAGUUAAUACCUUGCUGUUUUGACGUUACCAACAGAAUAAGCACCGGCUAACUUCGUG